rnacentral:misc_RNA from 1 species
UCUCCGCUGGUGAACCAGCGGAGGGAUCAUUACAGGAUCGAAAGACUCCUAUAACCCCUGUGAACUUACUACAAAUACGUUGCUUCGGCGGGUGCCCCGGGUCUCCCGGGGCGUUCAGCCCGCCGGCAGCCUUCAAAUUCUGUUUCUUUGCGUUGGCAUCUCGAGUAUACAAAAAUAAGUUAAAACUUUCAACAACGGAUCUCUUGGUUCUG